GUGGACGCCGCGCUCUGCGACGACCUGCUGCAGGAGGUGUUCCGCCUGCUCCCGCCCGCCGCGGGCCCGGCCGUCUCCCUCGUCUCCCGCCGCUGGGUCGCGCUCCUCCGAGCCUCCACGUCCCGCCUCACCCUCCGCCUGCCGCCGGCCUUCACCGGUCCUCUGGCUGACCUGCUCUCGCGCUACCCGUAUCUAUCCGCGCUGGCCGUCGUCUCCGCUUCAUCAGCCGCCGCUCACGACGCCGACGCGGUCCUGCUCGCGGUGUCCGCCUCGCCGUCGGCCACCAGGCUCACAGCGCUGCGGUUCUCGGUCGGUUCGCCCGUCUCGCCCGCUGCGCUGCGGGAGGUCUCCGUCACCCUCUCCGGCCUCACCUCGCUCCACCUCACCGCCGUCAGCCCCCUGUCGUUCCGUUGGCUCGCGUGCUUGCCCUGCCUAAAAUCCUUCGCCUUUGUCAACUCCGCCGUUGCUGCCGUUGACUCGGCCGGUUCCAGCUCCGAUGAAGACUCCGGCGGCGAGGGCGACGCCGUAGGGGCGUUGCCUCUGGAGAGGCUGUCGCUGUGCGGUAUCCGCUCCGGCGACCACGGGCUCAGGUGGCUAUGGCAGCGCUGUGGGAGCCUACAGUGGCUGCAGCUGCGCGCUUGCGACGGCAUCGGAGAUGGCCCCUCGUCGGCUGCCUUCUCAGGAUGCCUCGCCGGCCUGCUCGAGCUUGAGCUCCGCGCUUGCCGAACCGUCGCCGACCGCGUCCUCCUCAUCGCCGCUGACCGGUGCUGUGCUCUCAAGUCUCUACUUGUGUAUGACGGCGGCAGCAGGGAGGCCCUCCUCCAGUUCAUCCGUCGGCGCGGCGCCGCACUGCACACCUUGGACCUCCGCCUGCCUCUCGACCUGCACAACGACCACCUCCUUGCAAUCGGCGCAGAGCAAGGCUACGACACCCGGGGCAGUCUUGCCGUGCUUCGCCUUCAAAGCUGUGUCCUCGUCACGGGGGACGGGCUUCGUUCUCUCGCGCGCACGGCCAUUGGGGCGGGCAUCAAAGAUGUCGCCCUGGUGAGCUGCGACGUAGUUGAACGGGAGCCUGGGCUGCUCACGUUCCUCAGCCAGAGCAUGCGCCACCUCCGCCGGCUUGAUCUGUCUUACAACGAGACCCUGAAGGACAAGGAGAUUGGAGCCAUGCUAUCGUCUUGCCGGAAUCUGAUUGAUAUCAGGUUUAGGGGUUGCCGCGGCAUUACCGGAGAAUCGCUGGUCUCGUUGCUUAGGCACUGUGGGCAGACAGUGGAGGUCGUGGACAUCUCCCGCUGCCCUGCCAUUAAAGUGGCCAGUGUCGAACUCUUUGCACAGCGAGCCACCCGUUUGAAUCAUUUGGUCAUCGAGGUGAGCUCUGUGUCGGAGGAACUGAAGGCGAUUGCACGGACCAAAGGCAUGAAGGUUGGCCCAUUGCCUUGUGAAGGAUCAUUCUGA
rnacentral:rRNA from 1 species